ACUCAUCUUGGCUGUACAUUUACUAAAAUUGGAACAAUUCAGAGUGUAGUUACAGGUCCCCUGCACAAGGAUGGUACAUAAUCUGUGAACUGUUUCAUGUUUAA